rnacentral:lncRNA from 1 species
GACGCGUCGUUGACGCAAGUUAGCGAGGUUUUCUUUGUUCAAAAAGUCCCCUUAGUUGCUUAAACAUCCAUAUCGAUCGGUUUAAUUCAUUUCAGUUUUCAGUUCUAAGGAUACAGUUCGUCGUCAAGAACAUCUCGAGUGUAUGCAGUGGUAUUGUCAGCUGAAAGUUCAUAACUUCAACAUUACCCUACUAGUCAUCCACACUAUUUUCAAGACCUGGGUAUCACAAUACGUAUCACCACUUCAACUAAUUCUAGUCAUCCCGUUGUUCAACUGUGAAGCAUCUGCAUAAUAUUGAAGGUAUCAUCGUGUGUUAUCUCUAGCAACCACCCUGACCUGUUGUGGAGUGCCAAUGAAAAGCAUUUACAUAUCUCCAAGAUAACGAGUUGCACUGAUAAGCGCCAAGUAAGCCUUUCUGGUUAGUCAAUUUUGAGUGCUGAUUGCUUCGUCUUUAGGAUGAUUAAGCGUAAACUGAAAGUAUUUGUUUGUCCGCGACAAACAGCACGAAGAAUUAGAUCUGCUAUCACUGAUCAAAAUAAUGAGAAUUGGUAACGAAGUUACUGACAACCGUCCCGAAACAGAACGUUAUAAUGUUGAUCAGGCUUCUGGUAUUAAUGUACUGGAAAAUAUUGAUGCCAAAA